rnacentral:rRNA from 1 species
UACGAAGGGGGCUAGCGUUGUUCGGAAUUACUGGGCGUAAAGCGCACGUAGGUGGACUAUUAAGUCAGGGGUGAAAUCCCGGGGCUCAACCCCGGAACUGCCUUUGAUACUGGUAGUCUCGAGUCCGGAAGAGGUGAGUGGAAUUCCGAGUGUAGAGGUGAAAUCGUAGAUAUUCGGAGGAACACCAGUGGCGAAGGCGGCUCACUGGUCCGGUACUGACGCUG